CUCUCCUCCCGAGUUC
rnacentral:miRNA from 1 species